rnacentral:lncRNA from 1 species
UGCUGGGAACCUGCGGUGCCAUCUUCUGAUGAAACAUCGUGCUUCGACGACAGCUUCUGCUUCCGGCCGUUCCUCCUCCUGCUGGUGUUCGGGCCUCUGGUCUGCGGCACUUGCUUCGUGUCACUCAUCUUCAAAAAGGCAAAAUAAAAUGAGCAACCUUCAGUGCCAAAGAUUCGUGAAUCAGUCCAGCUGAGGUGGACCUUUAGUGCAACAGUCAAUAUGUCAUUCGUACACCAAAAGCUUGUCUAAGCUCAGCAACAGCCAAAGAAACUGGCGCCACUAGUUCAAUUGGGUUCUCAAGAAAAAGAACAAAUAUUGAACAUCAGAGCAUAGAUUCAGCCUUAUCAUAAAGCACCACCGAUUGGCAAUUUAAGGUAUGACUUGGAGCGUGAACCUUCCAACAGCAAAAGCACACGGACAAGUCAGCAAAGGCACACGACUAUGAAUCCAAUUGUCCAAGAAAGGGAUGCGUGACAGAAAAUGAGAUGCGUGAUCCGUAUAUCCAUUCUGACGCUGAAGGUAAUAAAACUCAUCGGGAGUCGAAACCUUGCUACCACUCAAAAUGACAUAUAAUAUGAGACGUCACAUCAUGAGGAUACGAAAAAUCCAAUUGCAAACAGCUAUACACGGUGGGCAGUGGACUGGUACCAUAUGGACCACAACAAUAGCAAUGGUCUACCUGUCAUUGAAAUACCUUAUCCAGAAACGUCAUAUCUGCUAAGCAAGUCCUCAUGCCAAGAUACAUCUAGUAGUGGAGCUUCUCCUAGCCCCUUCACGGUAUCUCAACAGUUUAUUGGACUAUCAUGUGAUCAUUAUGAGUUAUGACUACUAAACACCAUGAAGGGCUUAGGUCCAAACAUGUAACAGGGUCCACUAAGUAACCCAAGAUCUACAGCCUUCAGCCAAUGGAUAAAAGCAUAGACUAAAAAGUUAUUGACUAAAAAGAACUUAUUUAAAGAAUGAGCAGCCAUGCUGGAAUUGUGUUUCUUCCAUAGACCUUAAAAUUCCAAAUCCAUGGGAAAAAUUUGUAGUCCACGACAUUGGAAGGAACAACUGCAAAAUCAACAUCUAGGAUAGCAGACUGAAGACAUGCAACUAUACGAUGCUCAUACUAUCAAGCGAAAUCAGGACUUCUGUAACUAGUGAUAACAUAGCCACCCAAUUCUUUUUAUGACAUCUAGAGACCUCAUACUUUGCAGGCGAAUCUACAGGCAUCUGGAAUAUGCUCAGAAAGACACAAAGCACCACAAUCAUUUUCCAAAAAAAAGAAAGGCAUAAAACAAAAUGUCAAAGCAAAGUCAUUGUUUAUAAACAAUCUCCUAUAUCAGAUGGGAUUAUGCCUAAUCGUCCAUUUCAUGAUCAUCUUCAGAAGUAAAUUGUAUUUACCUACAUAGUAAGUAGCUGUGAUUCCUGCCACAUGGCAUCAUUAUCAAGCACAGUAAAUUGAUAAUGACGGGUGCACUUACCCCAAAACAAAAGCCAGCCUGGCUCUGACCCACCCCAGCAUCCACAGGUCUUGGAGGUUUCCCCGAGUCCAUUGCUGAUGAACCCCGCUUAUUGAAGCCAUUACAUGAUGGCACCUCUGCGUCCAUUACUUUAGUAGGCGGAGGAGG